CCGGAUUCCGAAGCCCGGAGCCGUUUACAGUUUGAGGCGCCGUGUGCCGCCCCCUGGUGGCCGGAGGCCGUUACUGUCGCGGCUGAGGGGGCGUCCCGGUGUAUCCGCAGCGCGCCCUGGCCGCCCUCUGGUGGCCGGAGGCCGUUACUGUCGCGGCUGAGGGGGCGUCCCGGUGUAUCCGCAGCGCGCCCUGGCCGCCCCCUGGUGGCCGGAGGCCGUUACUGUCGCGGCUGAGGGGGCGUCCCGGUGUAUCCGCAGCGCGCCCUGGCCGACCCCUGGUGGCCGGAGGCCGUUACUGUCGCGGCUGAAGGGGCGUGUCCCGGUGUAUCCGCAGCGCGCCCUGGCUGCCCCCUGGUGGCCGGAGGCCGUUACUGUCGCGGCUGAGGGGGCGUCCCGGUGUAUCCGCAGCGCGCCCUGUCCCGCCAUAUACAUUCCGUGCUUUUCAAACACCCGCCGUGGGCUAAGCAUGGGACCCACGUGGGGCGGGGACACACGGCGAUAAAGAGCCAGGCCCUCGCUGCCAAGGAGCUUUCCCGUAACACCGAUGCAUCAAACAAAAGAUAUUAAAGACAUUGGCGGUAACACUGGAAUGGAUGUGAAGAUGGGAGAGGUCUACCCAUAGCCCAUUCUACAGAGCAGAACUGAGGCUCAGAUAUUGAGGUAGAUUAAAGAUGGCUGCCAGUUCAGUGCCACUUGUCCCGUUGAACUGUGAAGUCUUAUCCCCCUCCUUGGGUCUGCACCAGCCUUGAUGACUUGCUCACUACAAUGUGGUAGAAGUGAUGGUGCAUGACUUCCAAGGUUAGAUCAGAAGAAGCCUUGAAGUUCCUGCCUUGGUCUCUUGAAACAACUUACCGUGUAAGAAGUCUGACACCCUGAGACCGCCAUGUUGGCACAGUUAUGGGUGGAUGCUCCAGUAGAUGGAUCCAGCUGAGCCCAGCCCUCCAGCCAUUCCCACCCCCAAACCAUGGGUGAAACUGUCUUGGACCCUCCAGUCCAGCCCACUCAACAUCUAAAUACCACAGACUGACCUCAGCUGAUACCAUCACCCAGUUAAAAUGUGCCUGAAACUGACCCACAAAAUCAUGAGAUAAACUAAAAUGGUUGUUGUCCUAAGCCACUAAGAUAAUAGAGCAGAUAUAUAUGCACUUAACACUC
rnacentral:lncRNA from 1 species